UACAACACAACUUGUUUUAUGUGUCUUGUUUAAUGGUCAAUGUAUUUUUUCUAAGAGAAUCCUAGUUAAAAAGAGGUUAUUGCUAUUGUGCAGAAUCUUCAGAGGGUUACAACCUCUAUAAUAAUUAACCAGCUGUCAUUAGACAAGUUAUAUCACAACAGUCAACUGUUUUGUCACUUCAUCAUUUUUGAUGUAGUAACAGAUGAAAUAACACUAAACUCUUAAAUGUUGUAUGAUAUUUCUUUUUAUUAACUAUCCCUGUCCCUGCGGAAGACAUUUUUAAGAUGCUGUAAUUUUUCACUUGUUCAUAUGUUGUUUUAGUUUUCUAAUUCUCAUUGUUGGCAACUGACUGAUGUUUUCUUCUCAUAUUUGAAGAAUUUUUACAAACCAUAUUUUGUUUAUCACACUUGCAUUGUUAGAUUUUAUUUAUUAUAAUUUGUUAGAGUAACAAGAUUUAUAUUUGACAUCUAACGUUUCCUACUUAUAUUUGCUCAGGGAAAAAGGUGCCAAAACCAGGGCAGUUUCAGGAAAAAAUGCCUUCAAAACGACCAAAAACUCUAUUUAUUUUGUCAGCCCUUGUCUGAACCCUGCAUGUACAUCAUGCAAAAGAUAGCGCAAUUAACAUGUUGAUUAUUCAAUAUUAUUAUGAAAAUUUCCUACAAGCAAGCAGAGGUGUAAUACUUGGAUUGUGAUAUAUAUAUUCUCUAACAGGAAUGGUAAUUCCUAAGUUUAUUAAAUUCAGAUCUCAGAGAGCACCUGUUGUGGAGCAAAAGAUGGCUGACUUGCUGUAAGAAAGGUUCAAGGACCCUCCACUAUACAAAUAUUGUAGACUUGCUUCUGGAUCCAAGUCAGGAGAAGUAGGAUGAAAAGGUAUAAUAACAAUUGAUGUAAGGUUUCACACAAACCGAAGGAGUUAGAUGGCAAAAAUGUACCUUUAAACAUUUUGGGAACAAUGACUCUUGAACACAAUUUAAACGUAACUUUAAGAUUGCAAACAUCGUCAUAAUUAAAAUAUCCAACAUUGUGUACUGUUCAAAAUCAAUGACCAUUGACUAUUGUUAGCAUUGUGUCUGAUAAGGAUGGAACCAUUGGAAUUUAGACCAAUUUUUGACCAGUAGCAGUUAGGAAGUAGCAUUGAAGUAAUAAAAAAUAAAUAGGAAUGUGUUCAUAAAUUAGAUGGUGAAUUUUUGUGUCCACAACGUUUUACAGAAAUAUGCUUUACAUCUCUUAAAAUACUACUAAGUUAGCAGAAAUCUAUUAAGAAUUCUAAGAUAUAAUGUAAAUUUGAUUCUGUUCUACAAAAGUACCAAAUUGUGUCAUAAUGUUUGAAAUUAUGAUUUGUUCUAAUGUGUACUUUCGAACAGGACACCAUUCAAGUAGAAAGUUAGUUCCCUUGGUGUAAAAACGAACAAACAUGAACAUUUGUCGACAAAGUUCUCCACAAAAGGCGAAUCAUAAAGAAGUGGAUAAAAAAUGCCUUAUUUUCUACAAUUCUUUAGGUGCAGAUAGUAAAAGCAGAAAAAAAAAGUGAAGAAGUAGAGUGGAUUACAAAAGCAUAUUAAAAAGGUUAGAAGUAGAAAGGAUAAGUUAGAAACUAUUGGAAGUAGUAGUUGAAGGCAAGAGUUUAAAGUGGGUUAUAAUUCAGAGAAAGUAAGAACUUUAAUAAUUUUAAGACUUCUAUUUUUUUUGUAAGCUAGUGCUACAUGGAGACUCACAUUCCCAUAAAAAGCUGCUAUCAAAAUUGUUAAAGUUUCAAAAGCUAGCCAGCAUAUUUGUUUACAUUUUUUGCAUAAUUAAUGUAUUCCCUUGUACGUAACUUAUGUUUUUUAUAAAUAUAUUAAUUGGGGGGGGGGAGGGGGGACAGUAUAUGUGAUGUCAGUUUUGCUGGAAGAAAACUCCACGGUUUCACGUUUUUGUUUUUGUUGAGAAUGUGUCAAUAUUUUAAUUGGAAAUGUCACAGGAAAACAAUUUGCAAGGAGUACAUUUAAAAUCAACAAAAAACAGUUCUUUCAACAUUAUUUUUAAGACCAAUGUCAAAACCAGAGUUUGAAAGGCAUUUAAAUUUAUAUCUAGAAAUACUAAACUAAAUUUUUUGACAUUUUCGGAUUCAUUUUUUGGUAAAGGGCAUUAUGCAAGAUGCUGAAAUAUUUACUGACGUCAUUAAAAUUUAUAUGACAGAUCUUUUCCGUUGCCCUUCCUUCUGUUUAAGUAUAUCUUUCCACGGGCCUUAUGGACAAUAAUAUAAUUUGAUUUUGGAAACCGGCAUUAAGGCAUAAAAAAAUGACCAAAUUCGCACCUGUCGCACUCUUGGGGGUACAAACAAUAAAUAACUAAGUUGUGUUAACCCAUUUUGCAGAAAUUCUUCUAAAAAUUCAAAGGCUUUUUAAAAUGCCAUACAGUUGAUUCCAUUCCAUAAAAUUACUAAAUUAUGACUAACUACAAUCCAUCAUUUUAUUAAAUAAAAUAGAGUUUCAUUUACUGCAUUAACUACUACAUACUUGUUUGUAAUUGUUUCAAGUACUUCAAAAUUUCUUAUAAACUUCAUUCCACUUUUAGGUAUUUCCACUUCUAACUUCCACUUUUGUGUUCAUAUUUACAUAAUAUAUCUUAUUAUUGUACAAUAUAAUAUACAGCCACCAAAUUGCACUCAUCUCAUUCUAACUACUUAUAUUUGAUUGAAUAUGGUACUGUAUCAAGAAUUAUUAAAAUAUGGUUGUAGUACCAAAUCGUGAAUACUGUUAGUAAACAAUAAGAAAACCUAUUAUUUGCCUAUCCAAAAUUGCAUGUACUACGUGAAGUGUUUCCUUUUUGUCUUUAUACAGUAGAGUCUCCAUAACUCGAACCUCUAUUACUCGAACGUCUCCUUAACUCGAACGAAUUAUCAUUUUCAUAUUUUAAUGUUUACGUGUGUUGUGGGCCUUAUAUUGUUUGAAUGCAUGAUUCGAAUGUUUUGUUUGUGUUUCGAACGACAACGCUUUAUAACUCAUUUAAAGCUACACAUAAUGAAUGGCUGCAAAGGAGAGGAGGGAAGAAAGCACUUUGUAUAGAAAAAAGAUAAAAUAAAAAUAAACUUUAUGGCUGAUCACUAUUGUCACAUUAUCAUGUGGUAAAAAGUAGACUCUCUUCACACUCGAGACGUGGCAGCAGAAAUUGUAACUAAAAUUCUGAGGAAGUAUAUAAAUCUAAAAGUGACAUAAGUCAACUGGCUCAAUUUAACCAGUAAACAGUUCCAUACAAAAUUUAGACCACUAAAGUUUUAUGCAUUGGUCAUGUUGUACUUGUAUGUGAUUUGUUUGAACAGUAUAUCACAAAACAUGUGUUGAGAUUGUAUUUUUUCUGGUUUUAAAAAAUUGAAAAAAAUCCAUAAUAGAAUGCAGUGGAUCCUUCGGCUGCUGCGGAUCCUUCUACAAAGUAGUACUUUAUUCGUUUUGGUAAGGUGCAAUGUCAUAACAGUGUCUGUGUAAGUAUCAUGUUAAGCAACAACCUGCAAUUAUAGUUUAUAUUUUAAAUGCUAAAUACUUUUAGGUAUCUAAUACAGGCAUGUUUUUAUGACAUUUUUCAUUUGUUGAUUUCGAAUUUUGUCUAAUAUCUAUUUUUAUUUCAACAAGAUAAUUAUUUAAGGGAACUUCGCGUUUGGUAAACAUUCACAUAACUAUUUAAAAGAAUUUGCAUAUCUUUUUUUUUCAUGUAUACAUUAACAUUUAUUUCCCUUUUUUCUUUGUCCUGCUUCUUCCUUUGUGUAGGCUGGACAGUCAAUUUUGCUGACAAAACUGAUAGUGAGAGAAUUAGUGAACAAGUAUCCUUGCAACAAGUGAAGUUUAAAAACUUCAAUUCACGUCGACUUGUCCACAUAAAGAGUGAUGUCAAUUAAAGCUCUGUUAGAAGUUAUUGGUGGAAAAUGUGUCAAUCGUUAACUCAAAACUUAACCUAUUUCAACCGAAACUAAACAGAAAGGAUCCAGCUAUCGAGCUUUACCACUUGGCUAGGAUGAAGAUCUUAGCCUGGACACGAAUAUCCAAUAUUCUAAUCUAACUAAAGGUGAAAGAAGAACAUUAGAACACUGCGCCAAAUGGUACUUCUAUUGUUUCAAGGAGGCUGAUAAAGGUUCAACGGUAGUCUAUUUACAAGAAGCCGAGCUACAACUUGGUGACGAAAAUGUAUAUAAAAAGGUUGUGUUGUUGGAAAAGUUACAGGAAGAUAUACUUUAGAUUAGUUUCUGGAUAAGAAUUUCAGGCUGCCCCGUAACUUUCAAUUGGGAAUUGUAAAGAUGUGUAUUUAAAAAACGCAGCUUUUACAACUUUUAAUAGAAAUUCUAAGUUGAAAGUAUUUAAAAUUGUUGUACAGUGGAAUCCCACUGAAGUGAACAUCAUCGGUGCAAGAAAAGUUGUUGAAACGCGUAGAUACUGCACAUAAUAGAAAUUACAGCAAUUUCGCAAGCGUAAUAUUAGAGAUACGGGGUUAUUUUUUUAACCCACACCAAAAAGUCAAGUUUAGUAAAGAGACGGGAAUAUUAAAGAUGCGGGAAUGAUAGAGCAUAAAUACGAUAUAUAUAACCUUUCUUCAGCAAUUAAUUUGUCGUUAUUCGUUUGCUGACUAGUUUUGUCUUGUUUCGGGUUAAAAUUUUUGGAAAAAAGUUUUCGCAUUAAAUAACGGUCGAAUCGAUCGCUAGUCUAUAUUUGUUACACCAAAUUUGGAAAGUUGUACCACCUAUUUUAAUUAACACACCCCUCAUUAAAGAAUUGUAACUUCCGCCUAUACUUUUCAGAACAAUUCAAGCGUUGUGUUUCACGAAUGUCUUUGAUUCGACUCCCUCCCCCCAAAUAUUACCAAUUCCCUUUCACCCUCUUUCAUCCAUCUGAAUAAAAAUUCACCUACAUAAUUUAUAAACACCAACUCCAACUAUCGAUUUGAAGGUAAUUAACAACCCCUUCUUAGUAAGCCCCCUCUUUACAAUAUGGUUAUGAAAAGUAACUUUAAAAAGAAAGACUCUGGCACUUAUAGACUAGACGUUCGUAAUGUUCUGAAAUUGUAGUUUACUUUAUUCGGAUAUUGACUUGAGCUAUGGCGGUAAUUUAUUUGUGUAUAUAUGUCUAGAAAUACGUUUUUUUUUUGCUACGAGUAACGUUUCAGAUAGAAUUAGUAUAAAAUAAUUUUAUGAGGAAAUUGAAUUUACUGACUUUGUAUUCGACUGAGGCAUGGAGGUAUAGAAGGUAUAACAUCCAUGACUGAUGUAACGAGCAAAAUAAGAAGAUAUAUUUUUCAAGAAACAUGUGAUUUGAAUUGCA